rnacentral:snoRNA from 1 species
AUGUUUUUAAUGAUGAUCCCAUAGUUCAUCUGAUGUUUUUGAUGUACAUAAUGCAUUGUCUUUCGCUCCUAUCUGAAUUAUUAU